rnacentral:rRNA from 1 species
UGGCGAGUGGCGGACGGGUGAGGAAUUACAUCGGAAUCUACUUUUUCGUGGGGGAUAACGUAGGGAAACUUACGCUAAUACCGCAUACGACCUACGGGUGAAAGCAGGGGAUCUUCGGACCUUGCGCGAUUGAAUGAGCCGAUGUCGGAUUAGCUAGUUGGCGGGGUAAAGGCCCACCAAGGCGACGAUCCGUAGCUGGUCUGAGAGGAUGAUCAGCCACACUGGAACUGAGACACGGUCCAGACUCCUACGGGAGGCAGCAGUGUGGAAUAUUGGACAAUGGGCGCAAGCCUGAUCCAGCCAUACCGCGUGGGUGAAGAAUGCCUUCGGGUUGUAAAGCCCUUUUGUUGGGAAAGAAAUCCAGCUGGUUAAUACCCGGUUGGGAUGACGGUACCCUAAGAAUAAGCACCGGCUAACUUCGUGCCAGCAGCCGCGGUAAUACGAAGGGUGCAAGCGUUACUCGGAAUUACUGGGCGUAAAGCGUGCGUAGGU